GCCACUAACUAUUAGGCUAUAAAUAGAGAUCAUGACAUAAGUACCUCACUGAGCUAUCAAUAAUCAAAGAUCGAUCUUAAUACCGACUUGAUAGCUAAUUAUAACCACCAAAAUUAUUUUAAUGGGGAGAGUUUUGUUCAAUUGCAUCAAGCUAAUCAUCCUACUUAUUCUUGUGCUAAUUGCUACAACAGGUCCGGUAUAUGCAAGAAUGUCGGAAACAACCAGUGGGCAGAGAGUCCAUAGCAUGAAAGGGACAGAGCCGGCUAAAGGAAGAGGUAGGGUUAGCCAAGUGGUUCUAAAUACAAAAGAAGUUGGCAUACUACAAGAUCAACUUGUAGACACUGAGAAGAAGAAAAAAGAGGCAUGUAUACGAAAAGGCUAUCCUUGUGAACCCUACGCCAAGUGCUGUAACUCUUGCGUUGUUGAUCCCAUCUAUGGCUUUUUUAAAUGCUCCUGAUAAUUUGAUGGUUCUAAUUUCCAAGUCUCAUAAUCUCAUUAAGAGACCUUUGGCCUACCUAUGAUCUAUAAGUUCACGCGUCUUGCUUUUUUGUACUAUGAGAUGACACACGAAAGAGGUCACAUUUGAUUCGGGUGUACAAUAAGUAUGUGAAUUUAUUUUGUAUUAACAAUAAUGUAAACCCAAUAAAUAUUGUAUUAGACUACUAGAGUGAGGUUUCCAAGUUUCGUAUACAUCAAA